rnacentral:lncRNA from 1 species
UUCUAUUUACAUGCUUGAGAGAAUUUUUACUUUGAAUCAUGAAGCUGGAAACUGAUUUAGCCACCAUAACCAUAAUCUCUAGCAAAUGCCCUUGACUAGGUUGCAUGCUUUGAGGGAAAAACUAAUGCCACUGAUCAAAUGAUAGGACGAGCUAGUUCCACCAACUCCUUACAGAUGAAGUAAUUUAACACACCAACAGAUUUUGAACUGGACUGGCAUUAGCAACUGCAACCUCCAGAUUGCUGCUGUGAUUGGGAUGCACUUGUAGUGGUUGUCUUGAGAUUCACAUCAACCAUAUCCUCCUGUUUUGCUGAGGAAAGAUUCUCCAUACCUGGCAAUGCUGCAGCAAUUUUCCGAAACAGUGCCUGGAGUAAUUGAAAUGGUCAUUACACCACCUUUUUCAUGAAUAACAUAUCUAAUUCCAGAAAAAGAAAAAUCAUAAAAAAAAUAAUGUCUUUUCUCAUUCAUAUCAUAAUUUAUCACGCACAGGGAUUUGGCACCACAUACUCCUGGAUCUGUUUUUAAGCCAGAGCAUGUCACUUUAAUGAAAGAGAACAAAGAGAAUUUUCAAGUGGGAGAGACACCUUGACAUUGAAGCCAGCUUUGGCACUUGUUUCUAUAAACAUAACACCAAGAUCCUGGGCUUUAGCCUCUCCUUCUUCUAUUGAGACUUGCCUGUUGCAAUCAACAAACCAAAAAGCAACUAUCAAACCAUACGUUGUUCAUAGGCAAUCAUUGCAAGUCAUAAAAUAAGAAUAUAUGAAAGGCAAUGUGCAACAUAAGCCCAGAGGAGGCCUAGUAAAGUUUGGUGCUAAAAUCAAUGUUGCAUACUCUAUAUUCUUUUAAAAAGAGGGUAAACUAGUACGAGUGAGAACUAAGCUAAGUAGCUAAGUCGAAAGGAAGUUGCAAGAAAGAAUUUGAAAAAGCUAAGACUGCAUGUAGGCCUUAAUUGAAAUGACUGGUAAAAUGUCCAGUUAGUCAGUUGUUGAUUAAUAUGGUCAGUAAGCUUCCAUAAGAACAGUAAUAAUUUGGAAUGGAAGAGGUGCUGUGGGAAAGACUAUAAUAUCCAUCAGAAUCAUGAUACAAGUUCCCUCACAAAAUUGAUUAAAAUACGGCAAUAUUUACCAAAUAGUAGCACAAAUAAAGCGGUGAUACCUAGGUACCUAUUUCAUUUCCUAGAAGAGAAUAAGCUAUUCCCCAUUACUUCACCUGAGACCUGAUUGUAAAUAAAUUUUGAAUAACAAGAGUGAGUCAAGAAUUACCAGAAAAGGAAAAAAAGUAAAAACCAUCAACCACAUCCGUAUGCUGUUAACUCAACCCAAUGGCCCAAACCUCUCUCUCUUCUCUCUCUCUCUCUCUCUCUCUCUCUCUCUCUCUCUCUCUCUCUNNNNNNNNNNNNNNNNNNNNCCGACCUACCUCUCUCUCUCUCUCUCUCUCUCUUUCUCUCUCUCUGUGUGGAGAGAGAGAAUGAGAGAUCCCCAAAUAAUUUGUUUGAACAGAACUAAACAGAGAGAUACAUAGAUACCACCACAACAAUAAACAGUCUGGACUAAAACUAAACAGGGGAACCUUAAACUACAAGGCUAAGGAAAACUGCCCCUAGACACAGUCCAUUAAGAAGCACUGCAUCCCAACAAUGGUAAGACGUUCCUAGAAAACCCUCCUUGACCUGAAUUUCACCUAAUCUUAUGACCUAGAACCUGCCUAUUUUGUUCUUGUAGACAACAAAUGCUUAGCCUCCCUUCUCUAGCACCCUAUGUUAUCUCAAGAAGUUAAUCUUUCCAAGAAUCUUUUCCCCUUGCUCAUCCAAGCACGAUAAAUCAAAUAACUUGAUGCCCUUCACCCAGUCCAGUGAAUAUUUCCUGGUUCUCUAUUUCAAGGACUUCCAUUCUAACAAUCUUCCUAUUGAUAGAGCCAUAACUGAUAUUAAAAAAAAUAAUGAGAGUCAAAAAUAUAAGCAUACUAUCAGAUUUAACUGACACCUGAUCACCUUUUGUCAACAAGGUCAGUUUUGUUUCCAACAAGGACAAUGAUAACAUCACCACCCCUCUCAGUUCGAACCUCUUCAAUCCACUUUGAGGUGUUCAGGAAAGUUUGUCGGCCUACACCAUUAAGAUGACAAAUCAGUAAGAAGCUUUCUCAUGCAACAAAAGAUCUACUUCGCAUUCAAAGUAGAGUAUGAGAUAAUCCACCCAGAAUCUUCCGAGCAUUAUUAUACAGGUCCUAGCUAUGGAUGUAUGCAAUAUGUGUCUGUGUGGCAGAAACAUACUUGCAACAUCAUACACAAUUACUGCAACAGAGGAAUCCCUAAUGUAGCUUGGAAUUAGACUUCUGAAUCUCUCCUGGCCAGCUGUAUCCCUGUGGACAGACAAAAAUAGACACAAAUCAAGAACAAGAAAUAUAUGACAGAAGAAAAUUAUACAAACAUGGUUAAAUUUAUGAUCUUUCUAAACAAGGAAAUUUUAUAAAGUAAAAGGCCAAGAGUUUCCUGUUGUCAAUUUCUUGCUUUUCAUUUGGCAUCUAAACUUAUUUGUGGUCCAUCUUAUGAAAGUUGGGAUCCAAUAUCUUACUAGUUUCCAAAAUGGUUGUCAUUAAUGGAGAUCCCGGAAAAAAGUAAUUACUAUUUCUUCGGUCUGUUUCAUGAUAAGUUCUAUGGAGACUGAAAUGACACAUUAUGCCAAUAACCGUUAUCGGUAAAACAAAGUUGCAAUCCUACCAAAGUUGCAGCCUAACAGUCCGAUCUUCAAGGUACAUUGUCUUGGAUAGAAAAUCAAUACCAAUUGUUGCCUGUCCAAUGCAAGAAUCACUAGGCAUCAGAAAAAAAAACUCUAUGCUUACAGAGAAUAAUUUUGCUGUAGUUGUAAAUUAACUAAGGCCAGCAUCUCAUUCUAUAACAGAAGAAUCAAAGGAAAUGAAAUGAUAAGAAAUGCCAACACAGAUCGACAAGACCAAUGACAAAUAACUCUGGUGCGUAAUCAGUAUGGCAAUCACAUAUUCCGAUUAUUUAUACAGAAGUAUAUGCAAAUAGCCAUAGUGAUUAAUUCUUAUGAGAUCCCAAGACAAAUUUUAUGUCCAUUUCUAAUCUAUAAAUGCAAAUCUACAUGUCAUUAUAAGUCAAGCAGACCGUACAACUUCAUUAAUUAGUGCAUGUUUAAGUUUUUUUUUGUAUGUUUCAGUUUUAGUUUCUAGAAGCAAGAGCAGGUGUGAGGGUAGAUUCAGGUGCCGGUAUGGGGAAGUGGAUCUUUCAACAGAAAUAAGAAAUAUUUAGGAAGCAGGUGAAGCAACAAGUCUCCAAAGAUUUCCUGCUACUAAAGUUUUGCUUAAUGAUCCAGAAUGAUCUAAUGCAAAAGUAUGAGAACAGCCUGUUCCUAAGUUUACAAUCAAUAGAUACUCAAAAGAAACAACUUUAGAAACACUGGAAGAAAAUAUCAAUAAGACUGUUGAAGAUCCUAAAGAUCCAAUGUCAAGGAUAUAUUCCAUUACUGAUUUAUUGCUUUUUAAGUAUCCACAGGUCAAUUUUAUAGACCAAGUUCCUUUGACUAUCUUGAUUCAAGAUAGUGAAAAGUUGAUCUGUAGUAAUUCAUGGCAAUGCUCCAUCUAAAGCCUGGUCAUCUUGUAUGAUAAGGUAAACAGGUUCAACAGAUGUUCUCCUUAAAUUGAUGGUCCAAUCACAUUGCAUGAUUGUCCAGCAUCACUAAGUUUUGGAGAUCAAAUGGUAGAGCCCUCACUUUGGAAUCAGAUAAAGGAUAAGGCAAUACCACUGAAAAAUGAGAUACUGAUGUUGUCUAGAUCUUUGAUAAGGUAUGGAAUUUGGGUUUUCUUUUACUAAUAUGAUUUUAUUGAUACAAUUUUUUUCGGUUUGGCAAUUAUGCUUAAGCAUGCCAUUUUAAGUAAAACAAUCUAUUGUCAUGGUUAAGCAAAUGACCCACCAUUCUUCAACUGUAACAUGGAUGUUAUCUCAAACGGAAGAAUAGCAAAAAUAGUAGUCUUGAGGUCAUCCCCACUCAGCAGGAUGUUCAUCCCCAUCCCAAAUUGAAGAACAUAAAGAAUAUUCUUGAGAAAAGGGUUACUUCAUGGUUCACGAUGGAAUGGCCAUUGCGUAAGUCAUCAAAAGAAGAACAAUUGUAUGUUCAUGUCUCCUUUUAAGCAGUAAGCUCUUCAAUCUUAGAGGCACUCAAAGAGUGAUUAAAAAAAAACGAAAUUAACCCUAAAACCUGAAACCAAACCUAAGAAUCAGAAGUUAAAUUUUGGGGUUAACAAGUAUUUUAUGGAUAGAUACUAUCAAAAAGGAACUAGAAUCAGUCCCUUCAGACACUCCUAAGAGUAAAAGAAUCGAAUGUAAAACGGCCAUAAUCGAAAAGAUGCUCAAAGCAUAUGAAAUUAGAGAAUCAAGAAAUCUUGCUUACUUGCAAAACACCAUAAACAAUGAUAAGUAUUCGACUUCUUCAACACUUCUCUCUCUGUUGAUACAACAACUACUCUUCAAGUUCUGGUCUAUGAAGCAUAUAAAUUGAACAAUUAAAGGGACAAGUGGAGCUUGGCCAACAUGAAGUGUGUAAAUUGAUCGAAUUAUCACAAGUCCCAAACAAGCAACCAGAAAAUGACAUCAGAAACUUGAUAAAUUUAUGUUUCAUGUGGCUUCAGUUUAACCAGAUCAGACAAAUGGUUAUUCAGUAAGGUUAUAAAUUAUCAAAAUCUUACUGCAAUUCUUUUUUUACCUCGAGACCUUUUCUCACGCAACAUUUUCUGGAACAUUUUGCAUGUCUAUAGACAUCCUAACAUACAUAAUCCUCCACCUGUACUUGUCUAUUGCUCACAUCUCUCUCCUCCCCACACCCCUUUCACAAAGCAGUCUUGGCUGGAAGCAUAUAUAGUUCAUAAUGUUGUUGCUGGCAAUGCUCAAAAAUAUUUAUCAUCAAUGACCCAUGUUAGGAAGUAAACCAUUAUUCAACUCUCUUAAACAGUACUAAAGAAAGAUAGGAGUUCACCAAAAAUCUAAAAGCUGGAUUCUAGUCCAACACACACCUCUACACAAGAUUCUUUGGAUGGUCAAUUAUGAAUAGAAAAAUGGGAAUUCUAUUUACAUGCUUGAGAGAAUUUUUACUUUGAAUCAUGAAGCUGGAAACUGAUUUAGCCACCAUAACCAUAAUCUCUAGCAAAUGCCCUUGACUAGGUUGCAUGCUUUGAGGGAAAAACUAAUGCCACUGAUCAAAUGAUAGGACGAGCUAGUUCCACCAACUCCUUACAGAUGAAGUAAUUUAACACACCAACAGAUUUGAACUGGACUCAACUGCAACCUCCAGAUUGCUGCUGUGAUUGGGAUGCACUUGUAGUGGUUGUCUUGAGAUUCACAUCAACCAUAUCCUCC